rnacentral:rRNA from 1 species
AGCAGUAGCCGCGGUAAUACAGAGGGUGCGAGCGUUAAUCGGAUUUACUGGGCGUAAAGCGUGCGUAGGCGGCUUCUUAAGUCGGAUGUGAAAUCCCUGAGCUUAACUUAGGAAUUGCAUUCGAUACUGGGAAGCUAGAGUAUGGGAGAGGAUGGUAGAAUUCCAGGUGUAGCGGUGAAAUGCGUAGAGAUCUGGAGGAAUACCGAUGGCGAAGGCAGCCAUCUGGCCUAAUACUGACGCUGAGGUACGAAAGCAUGGGGAGCAAACAGGAUUAGAACCCGCGUAGUCCCUGUCUCUUAUACA